rnacentral:misc_RNA from 1 species
UGCACGCAUCAGAAGGACAGGAU